UACAGAGGUCUCAAGCGUUGUUCGGAUUCAUUGGGCGUAAAGGGUGCGUAGGUGGCGUCGUAAGUCGGGUGUGAAAUUUCGGAGCUUAACUCCGAAACUGCAUUCGAUACUGCGGUGCUUGAGGACUGGAGAGGAGACUGGAAUUUACGGUGUAGCAGUGAAAUGCGUAGAGAUCGUAAGGAAGACCAGUGGCGAAGGCGGGGUCUCUGGACAGUUCCUGACACUGAGGCACGAAGGCCAGGGGGAGCAAAACGGGG
rnacentral:rRNA from 1 species